AAGUAAUAAAUAAACCCAGUACACACACAUUAUUUUAACAAAACUUUUUUGGAUGAGAUUAAUCAUAAUUGUUUGACAACAUACUCUCUCACACACACACACAUAUAUGGGAUAUUGUGGAUAUUACAAUGAAUUAGAUAUGUAGUAUGGAUUUGAAAUUAUUGAUUUUUUUUUUAGCUUUUCUAACGAAUGGUCAGUUUAUAUGUGUAUAUGCUAUAUAAUCAUUGUAGAAAAUGUUUGUAUAUUCUCUAUUAUAUAUCGUAUUUAUUGCAUAUGUACAAUGUACAAUAGUAUAAUAAAUGAUAACUUUAUAAUAUAAUAUAUAAUAAAAUAAUACAUAAAUAGACUAGUAUGCUAUGUAAACAAUAAAAGAAUUAUAUAUGUGUUUAUUUUAGGUGUAAAUCUGCAGAAUGCAUUUAAGUGUUAUGAUCCCAGUCUGUAUUCCCCGUAUUGUUCUUGAGUCGGACUUUAAUUUUGAAGUGUAUUUUGUUCCCCAUUGUUUCUGGGUUGCUUCCUGUGUACUAUUCCUGUUUCCUUGUUUCUCUGUCUACCAUAGUUCCCCUUGUUUCUGUGUUGGGGAAAGUUACAUUUCAAAAAAACCCCAAGCAACUGUAGAGCAACUGUAAAUGAGCAACUGUGAAAUUAGUAAGCCUCGGGCUAAAGAAAAUGCCUCUCCAAUUACUCCCAAUUUCUUUUGAAAAGGAUGGGAAAUCAGUUCCGCCGAAUGCUGAUUAUGGAACACCAAGAUUUAAGAUGUUGUUGUGCAAGAACAAACACAGUGAGCUGCAGGAAUGUUAGUCAAUGCAUAACCAGUAUAAUGAAGAAGAAUGAAGAAAACACAUAUCAAAAUCCCAAAUGCUGUCAGAGGAAAACAUGCAGGAAUCCGAAAAAACUGGGUCACUUGCUCUUCAGCAAGCAAAUGCUUUCUUAGUAUUUGUCUUCUUUUGUAAACCCUACAGUAGACCCACAUGCAGUUAAAGUUUAAU